GGGGUCGAUCGGUUUCGACGGUGAUUUGUUCAUCAUAGAGAAGCGUGUCGAGAAUGUAGAAGUCGCUCGUUAAUGUCCUUCUACAAGAAAAUAAGUGCAAAAUCUAAUCGCACUGAGUUCGCACUUGCUGCCUGAGCUUUCGCGCCAGUUUAAAUUUUUUAAGCAAGUUUAGUAACUCCGCUCACGUUAUGAUGGUCUUUGCAUAACAGUGAACGUCAUUUUAAAGACUGGUUGCAUUAUUUUGUCGUGGAAUAAUGCAAUGAGAUGAACAUGACUGAGCUUACUGGAAGAGUGUCCAUCUUAUUACAGAAGCUGAGAAAUAAAACAUGGACUACACACGUAGAAGACUAUGAGCUCGAUCAUCGGACCCGGGUUCAAUUCCCGGCGGCUCCACUU
rnacentral:tmRNA from 1 species